GCCCAGCAUAUACCCUGACGUACUUCCUGCCAACAUGUGAUCAAGCACACAUACUGGGCAGUUGGUGCAACCAAGCUUGAUUGCAGAAGUGAAAAUACUGUUACCUUACUGGAACAGCCCCCAGCAUUCCAGGAUCUGUCCUUAGAGUGAAGAUGAACCGUCAAUGGACAUUGGCAAUGACUAGGCCAGAGCUGAAGCAUCAAUGCUGUUCUCCCAAGAUGGAGAUCCCAUAUCCUGUGUGAGUCUGAUGUGCAGGCUACCUGGCUUGAGAUGCAGGUCUAAGGACCCUGCUGCUCUGGGACUGGAUGGGUUCAGCUAAUGAGUUCCCACAGAGCACAGGCCAGCAGGGGAGGCGGAGAUCACAGAAGAGAAAGAGUCAGCUUCCAGGUCUCCUGUGGAUUCUAGAAUGUGAUGGAAAACCACAAGUGUUUCUGGAUGGAUGCUGUCAAACACAGCAGUGACUGUUCACUGUUGCUCUGGUCAGGGCUGGCACACAUGUUCCUGCCUGUGGGUGUCCCCCUCUGAAUGGGGCUCAAAUGAGAGAAGGGUCUCUUGUCACUUGAGCCUGCUCUCCCAAAGGCCUUUGUGUCAGAGCCAUUUCUAGAAGCCUCGGAAGGAGACAAGUUAGCCAUCCUGAGACUUUGCAACAAACCCUCCGCUCUUCUCUUCACAUGACUUUCAGCCUGCUAGGUGAUCCUGCCCACACCAUGUUCAAGAUCAGUUUGGGAUCUGCACCUAUCAGAUUCAGAGAACCAGAAUUGGCGUCAGACAUGGGCUACCAGAUUAUGGAGAACUGCCUGAUGUAACACCGAGUCUGCACUCCGUGAGGCCCCUGCAAAUGUGGAACAUGAGUGCCUACAGGAUGAACUUCCCGACCAGGGACCCUCCACUCUGCUCUUAAGACCUUCCAACUGGUUGAUUCAAACUCGCCCUGGAUCUAGGAUGCUCCCUUAACUAAAAUGCAUGUGAUUAGGGAAUCCUUUUUCAUGUGCAUGUGUGUGCGUGCAUAUAUGCACGUCUGCGUUCAUGUGGGAGUGAUAUGUGUGUGCAGUGUCCCUGCGUUACGUGAGCUUUCAUAUGAAGGUACAAAGUUGAUGUGGGGGGCAGUCUGCCUAGAUUUCAAGUAGGGUCUCUUGCUUAACCCAGAGCUCAACAUUCCAGCUUUUUCUUGCAAUCCCCUGUCUCUGCUUCUCAAGUGCUGGGAUACCUUACCUGGACCUGCCUGGCUGUGUAGAUGCUAGGGAUCUGAACUCUUGCACUCACGUUAAACCAAAAGUGAUUCAUCCACUAAUCUGUCUUCCUACCCCGACUAGAGAUUUAAUCGCCCACAUAAAACAUCUUCAUUGUAACCCCCAGACUACUGCUUGAGUAACAGUGUGAUUUAGUGGAGCUAAUGCAUACCACUCGGUGGCAUCAGCACAACUCUGUCCUCUAUAGCUGCCCUUGGCUGGGGCUUUUGCAUUUUGCUCCAAAUUAUAGCUAGAGCCUCUUCACUUGUCCCCUGCUUCUUCUCCUGUCCCCUCUGUCCCAUCCACUGCCUCUAGCUGUUUUCAGCUGAGCAGAGUGAACAGUUGUCAGGUAGAGUGCAAGCCAUCUGCCAUUGCUCAAUCCCUUUGUGGUGGGCAGAACGACAGUUCCCUAGAGAUGCCUGAGUCCUAAUCCGUGCAGCUCAUGGCUGUGUUACCUUCCCUGGUAACAAAGGAACUUUGUAGGGGUCAUUGGGGGCCAGUUUUAACUUGAGAUUGUCCUGCUUUAUUUAAAUGGCCCACUCUGUUCUGGUCCUUAGAAGCAGUUCAGGGGACUAGGGAGACAGCUCACAAGCCUGGGGACCCAAAUUCAAUAGGCAGAAGCCAUGUAAGGGUGGACAGAGUGAAACAAUUUCACGAAGUUGUCCUCUGACUUCCAUACACGCUGUGGCAUCCGAACCCCACCCCUCGGCCAUCACGAGGGAGGAAAGUGGAUUGCAGAAGCAGAUGUGGGAAAGACUUGCCACUCUAUGCUGACCUUGAAUAUGGGGGAAGAGUGUUGGAAGCCAACAGCAAGGGGAAGGCAACCUCAGUCCUCUAAGCACUGUCCCCAAAUGUCACUAGCAAGACAAACAAGUAGCAGCCGGAUUCUGGAAGCCUGUUGAGAAGAUCUUGAGAAAGCCUCCAAAACAUCAUAUUUAGUAAUUCCUGGAGAUUUUCUUCUCCUCGAGUUCCCCCUUAACAAUCAAGAGUUUUAUUUUCUUACAUUUCUUUAGUACAGAUGUUCUAAUAAAGCCACUAGUGAGAGUGAGUGACGUCACAUAUCAGAUUAGAAUUUUCUGCACUGUAUCAGGAAGUGUCAUCCUAGAUGCCUUUGGAAUUGGUUAAGAAUCUUCUAGUGAGAGAUGCAGUCACAUCAAUGGCUUCACGUUGUCGGGGAGGCCAUGUUGGACUACCAGUCUGCAGAACGACAGCAAGUUUGCGUUGUGUCAGUCACAGCCUUGUACUAUGGCAGCUUCAGAAAACAUACAGCACUCCGAUGACUUCCCAUUAGCUGUAGAGUUGAGAUCCAGCUCCCUUCAGUCCCUCCUUGCCCUGACUUCCGCAGUGGUUUCCUAGCCACCCUCCCCUUCCCUCACACCUGCCCCACUCAACCACAUCAGGAGACCACACCAGGAGGAAGUCACAUCAGUUCCAAUCAGGAGUCAAAAUAAAUAGCACUUUAAUGUAGCAUCAAAGUUAAUGCAACUAUAUGUGGCAAACAAAUAUUGAAAGAAGGACGAGAUCCAGUCGCAGGAUUUGCUGGGCUGGUCUUUGCCGCCUAUUGGCUCUGACCAUUGCAGCUCUCAAACUUCCAGCCCCACUCCCAUAAUUCCUUGCCCCCCCCCAUGCCUACAAGGCUUUCUCUCUCAGUAGCUUCAUCGUAGUUUUAUUGUUGUUACUGUUUUCUUUCUUUUUUUCUUCCUUCCUUUCUUUCUUUUUUGUUUUUUUAUUGAAUCUUUCUAUUGUGGCCCAGGCUGGCCUCAAACUUUCCAUCCCCCUGCCUCUGGCUUCCAAGUACUGGGAUGAUGGGUGCGCACCGUCGAACCCAGCCUCAGCUACUUACUGAACCUUUCCUGACUAUUUGUUUAAAAUCAUAUUGCCCCUCACCAUCAUUCUGUGACUGUUUUCCCAGAAAGAUGGAGAUGACUAAUAUUUCAUUUCAUUUAAUCACUGUUCUUCAUUUCCAGAUAUGUCACCUAACAAUCGUGCAACACGCAUAAAGGCUCAGUAAGUUUGCAUGGUAGGAAGGAAGGAGGGACAGAUGGAGGGAGGGAGGAAGGGUAGAGAAAAAAGGGCAGAAUGUAAAGCAACAGCUCUUUGUCAAAGCAUGUGUGUUCAUGUGUGGGUGUCUAUACUUAUUCUUGUAUGUAUAUGUGUGAGUGAGAGAACAUGUGUGUCU
rnacentral:sRNA from 1 species